ensembl:misc_RNA Gm24857 predicted gene, 24857
GGAUAGGAAGGUGAUCUCAUGCAACAUUUAUCAACUCAUUGCUUGCCAGGAUUCAUUUGAUUGACCUGGAUGGUUGAGCAGUGUCCCCUUACUCCCUUACCACUCCCAUGAGUGCCCCUUAGUUAAAACAAGCAAACACCUUCCCCUAGAGGGGAGGAAUGAUACUCAGUCAACCUUGCAUCAGUAGCUAUACUCCCAGUUAGAAGAACCUCUGAACAAGAUCUCCAGGAAAAUACAUGAGCCUGGACAGUGGUGUCCACCUUUAAUCCUAGCACUCAGGAGGCAGAGAGGCAGGCAGAUCUCUCUAGGU